UGGAGUUCUCCUGGCUCCUCCUGGUCCUGACGGUGGCCGUCUUCCUCUCCAGCAUCGUCCUGGUCAUCGUCUGUCUCAACUGCAGGAACAGCGGUCCUCAGGUCUCUAUCAGGCAAGCUUCAGAGAUUUACAUGCCCUCCACUGAUUUCAGGGUCAUCCACUCAGCUCAACCAACCACAGAUGUGAGCUCCCUCCGUUCCCCCUCCGCCCUGCUGUCACC